CAGUCGCCGCGGUAAUACCAGCACCUCGAGUGGUCAGGAGGUUUAUUGGGCCUAAAGCAUCCGUAGCCGGUUGUUUAAGUUUUCGGUUAAAUCUAUGCGCUUAACGUAUAGGCUGCCGAAAAUACUGGACAGCUAGGGAGUGGGAGAGGUACACGGUACUCAAUAGGAAGGGGUAAAAUCCUUUGAUCUGUUGAUGACCACCUGUGGCGAAGGCGGUGUACCAGAACACGUUCGACGGUGAGGGAUGAAAGCUGGGGGAGCAAACCGGAUUAGAUACCCCCGUAGUCCCUGUCUCUUAUAC
rnacentral:rRNA from 1 species